rnacentral:lncRNA from 1 species
AAUUUUAAUCUUUCAGUUUCGACCAUAUUUGGUCACCGAAAGCUCUACCGAACUGUAAUCUCUAGCAGAUAGCAGUCGGAUUUUAUUUUCCACCUUCCGGGUGUCGGAUUGACAUGAAACUUUAAAUCUAGCCUUAUAAAAAUAAUUUCGACAUAUUCUCCAGUUUUCAUAAUUUUCUGACACUGUGCAUUUUCUGCUAAAAUAUCAGUCCCGUUUCGCACAGAAAAUUUCAAAUCUUCUUCUUUCGUUCCGAUUUCUGCACAAGUCAUUUCUGACUUAUAUUUUACCUCUCUAAAUCCAAUAAAAAUAGUAUCUCACACUAUUUUUAUUUAUUUUUAGUUUUAUACCAAAAUUUGGUAUGUUAUAUUCUCCACCCCUUAAAAGAAUUUCGUCUGCGAAAUUCAAACCACGCCUCAAUUCAGCUCCUCGAGCAAUUGAGAGUACCAACUCAUUCUCCCACUCCAGA